GUGCUCUCUUCGGCAGCACGCACACUAACACUGGAACGAUACAGAGAAGAAUAGCAUGGCCCCUGUGCCAGGAUGACACGCAGAUUCGUGCAGUGUUCCAUGUUUUU
ensembl:snRNA LOC120093903 U6 spliceosomal RNA